rnacentral:rRNA from 1 species
AGAGUUUGAUCAUGGCUCAGAUUGAACGCUGGCGGCAUGCUUUACACAUGCAAGUCGAACGCGAAAGGGGGGCAACCCCUGAGUAGAGUGGCGCACGGGUGAGUAAUGCAUCGGAACGUGUCUGGUAGUGGGGGACAACCAGUCGAAAGAUUGGCUAAUACCGCAUACGCUGGAGACAGGAAAGCGGGGGACCUGGCAACAGGCCUUGCGCUAUCGGGGCGGCCGAUGCCCGAUUAGCUAGUUGGCGGGGUAAGAGCCCACCAAGGCUUCGAUCGGUAGCUGGUCUGAGAGGAUGAUCAGCCACACUGGGACUGAGACACGGCCCAGACUCCUACGGGAGGCAGCAGUGGGGAAUUUUGGACAAUGGGGGCAACCCUGAUCCAGCCAUGCCGCGUGAGGGAAGAAGGCCUUCGGGUUGUAAACCUCUUUCGGGCGGGACGAAAAGGGAUGCGUGAAUAACGUAUCUUCAUGACGGUACCGCAAGAAGAG